rnacentral:rRNA from 1 species
AUUUCCCCGCCGUAAAAUAGCAUAUCAAUAAGCGGAGGAAAAGAAACUAACCAGGAUUCCCCUAGUAACGGCGAGUGAACAGGGAUUAGCCCAGCACCGAAGCCUGCGUCCGUUUGGGCGUUUGGCAAUGUGGUGUUUAGGUCUAUUGCUUUCGUAUACUGCUUCGUUCCAAGUCCAAUCAUGAAUAUGGCAUUUGUAUAGCCCAGAGAGGGUGAAAGGCCCGUAUGGACGGAGUGGUGUGUGACUGCAUUGACCGUGGAGUCGGGUUGUUUGAGAAUGCAGCCCAAAGUUGGUGGUAAACUCCAUCUAAGGCUAAAUACUGGCACGAGUCCGAUAGCGAACAAGUACCGUGAGGGAAAGUUGAAAAGUACUCUGAAGAGAGAGUAAACAGUGCGUGAAACCGAUCAGAGGCAAGCGGGUGUAGUCAAGCUGCAAGCUGUGGGAAAUUGGCGGAUCAGAAUGGCGUGAGCUUGGGCAUAUUUGGUCUGGUUAUAGGUGCGUCUGUUUGGGCGUGUUCGGCUCGCAAGGGUCGGAUGUGUGAAGUGUCAUACGAUGCUGCAUACCUGUAACUGGUUUGUCCUGCUGGUCCGUUUACUUUCUCAUAGCGUAUGUCACGACCGUCGCAACUGUCGGUCCACUUCGUCUAAACCGUAGCGCGAGUGCCUUGUGUUUCUUGCGUUGUGGGGGCAGGUAGCUGGUUUGGUUUCGGCCAGGCUAGUGUUAUCGCUGGGCGGAGUGGUAUCUGUGCGGUACGGCGGGGCUGGCGGUGCGUGGUACCGGGCGUGCUAAAGUGUGUCGGCAUAGCGUGAGUCUGGCUUCAUGUUGCUGUUUCGGCGGCCUUGGGGUGGCUCUGUUGUGGUUUGAUAUGCGGCGGCGGCCGGCGGCAUCUUCGCGCUGUCCGCUAUAGCCUAGCCCGGAACAGUGCCGGGCCG